UAAUUUGAUUAACCGUUUUCUCUUAAUUAGAUUAACAUUCUCGUUUCUUUUUAAUUGUGGUUUUAAUCUUAUUAAUAAUUAACCAAUUAAUCAACUGUAACAUCUGUCUUGUUAAUAGUGUUAAAUAUAAUAAACAUGUUUCUAAAUUAAAGGUGUUAAUUGUUGGUUUAUCUUUAGUUGGUCAGUUAAUUUAUUUGAAUGAAAAGGUUAGCCCUUCAUUUGAAUAGGUUAGUUAAAGAACGAAGAAGAACAUGUUACUAAGUCUUCCGAUUCAGUUAAACGUAUCAUCUUCAUCGAUUGGCAUGAUCAUAAUCAAGCAAAGUUAAUUUGGAUGAGCCACGGAAAGUAAGAGGCCAAAUUGGAAGUAAAUUUAGCAGACUAUUGGAGUCAUUUGUUGAUGGAAUGGUUUAAUUAAAUGGAUUGGAAUAGAAAUUUCAACAUGAUGAUAUCUCCUUUCUCUCUUUUUUUGAUAUGGUUUUUGCAUUCAAGGAGCAAUCCGUAACCAAACAAUAUUAGGUUUGGGCGAUAAUAAUAUCUAAUUAAUCCUUGACGAUUAGACAUCACCUUUAGAUUAUCAUCAUCAUCAUCAUCAUGUUGGAUUAUCACUUGGCUUCUUUGGUUCAAAUUCAAAUUCGUGAUCAAAGCUUUUUGCAGCACAAGUGAAGCCAAAAGAUAGCUGAGAUUAAUACAUCACUAGAAAGAACAGUAGUAUUGUAAUAGUAUUUAAAAACAUUGCAACUUAAUUAUGCUUGGACAUCUACACUAUUAUCAUCAUCAUCAUCUUAAAUCAGUUUCUUUUACGUUGAAGAGAAAACAUUUUGCAACAUUAAGAUCAUAAACACUAAUUUGAUUUGAGUUACUCAAAGCUAAGAAUAGAAUCAACCUGUGGCCUCGAUGUUAUCAUUUUGAUGUUAUCAUCUAUUUAAUCGUAAAUUACUUUGGUUUUUUCUUCUAAAUGUAUCAAUUUUGCUGGUUAACAUCUUAAUACGCGGAUGAUUUUCUAACCCAUGGCUAUAAGAAAGAUAAAGAUCAUUGACAAUUCAACUACUGCUAAUCCAUCAUGAUCUUUGGAUUUUCCAAUUUCUUUAAUCUCUUCUUAUAUUUUUGCAUCAUCGUCAACAUCAAGUAACGUUUACUGUUAUAAAUGUUUAAUUAUCAUUAAUUGAUAACAAUCAUGUUACUUUCUCGGUCUUGGUCAAUAACUCAACUCAAAUCAUUCAAACAACAUCAUCAUCAUCUCAACAAGACUUAAUCGGCUCAGAUUAUGAUCAAGAAUUGAAAUUAAAUGAUUUACAUUAAAACUGAUUAACAAUAAUGGAGAGUAUCAAUUUAGACUGGAAAUAAAAAUUAAUAAUCAACAUUUAAUUUAUCAAUAAAUUGUUGUUGUGUUGCAAAUGUAGGUAGUGAAAAUUAAUUGCCGAAAACAAUUAAAAUCUAAUCGUAAUCAUUAAUCUAAUUGUAUAUUUCUUUUCUCUUCUUUUUCUUAAUCACAAAAAUAGUAAAUUUUCAAUGGAUGAAUUUCACAAAUGGACGAUGGGAAUAAAUCAAGAAACGGAAGAGAAUAUUUUUUGCCCACAAUUUCAAGAUUAUGUUCAAUUAAACAGUUAUGAUGAUCAGCGAAUUGGAACAAUAUGAUUUUCUAAGUUAUAUUCAUUGUUAAUCCAUGUUGGUGAUGAUCCCAUGACAGAAGAGAUUGAACCUAACAUGAAUUAACGAUUUCUAUUCAUUGGUCGUUGACAGCAUAUUCUCAAUUCUGACUUUUAAACAACAACAACAACAACAACAACAACAACAAGUCCAAUUGAAGGGAUUACAAUGGAUUAACUUAAAGAAAAGUAAAAGAAGAUAAAUGAAGAUCAAGAAGAUGACGAUGAAAAAGAAAGCAAGACAAGGCGAGUCUCAUUUCCACGGAACAGUUGACUCAAAUUAUAUUGUUAUUAGAUGACAAUAAUAAUAACAAUCAAGAUAAUCAUUGUUAUUAGUUUGAUCAUAUUAUUGUUAGAAAACACAAGAGAAAUUAAUAACUUGAGGUGUGGUCCAUUACAUGGUAUUGAGGAGGAGGAUAAGGUGGAUAAAGAUGCCAUGUUAUAUGCAAACGAUUAAGACGGAGGAUUAAGAUGGUGUUGGAAAAGAUGACAAUCAAGAUGAAGAUUAAACAAAAGACGGUCAAAUUGGGUAACGAGCGAAAAUUGUGACAACGGAAGAUAAAAUAUCACGAGGUAAAUUGUUACUUCUAAGGUGGAGUAUUACAAUUAAUUUCGCUCAUCCGUUGGUUAGAAACCUUUAAUUAUUACCAAUUCAUCACCAACACCAACACCAUAAUCGUUAAUCGUUAACAUCUUUCCGGUUGUACUUAGAUCACUUUUAAGAUUAUCAUUAUUGUUGACCAAUUUACUGGUCAGCCCAAAGUGAAAUAAAUGGUUAAAUGGUCAA